rnacentral:rRNA from 1 species
AACGAACGCUGGCGGCAUGCCUAACACAUGCAAGUCGAACGAGACCUUCGGGUCUAGUGGCGCACGGGUGCGUAACGCGUGGGAACCUGCCCUUAGGUUCGGAAUAACUCCCCGAAAGGGGUGCUAAUACCGGAUAAUGUCUUCGGACCAAAGAUUUAUCGCCUUUGGAUGGGCCCGCGUUGGAUUAGCUAGUUGGUAGGGUAAAAGCCUACCAAGGCGACGAUCCAUAGCUGGUCUGAGAGGAUGAUCAGCCACACUGGGACUGAGACACGGCCCAGACUCCUCCGGGGGGCAGCAUGGGGGAAUAUUGGACAAGGGGCGAAAGCCUGACCCAGCAAUGCCGGGUGAGUGAUGAAGGCCUUAGGGUUGUAAAGCUCUUUUACCCGGGAUGAUAAUGCCCGUACCGGGAGAAUAAGCCCCGGCAAACUCCGU